GGCUAAGUAAUCUCCAUCCUGCCUGUUUCAUCAGAAUCAAUGGAGAUCAUGCACAAAAAAGCAUGAACUGCUAAGUGUUCUGUAUGUUUCUGAAGUUAACAGAUGCCUGCUGAUACAAUGUGUUGAAUAGUUCUUGCGGUUAGACAGCAUCAUUAAUCGAACAAGAAGUGAAAUACAAUUCAUAAAUGGAUAGAGAAUAUCACUUUCACGUGGCCCACACACCCGUGGCAAACAAUUUCGUCAGCAGCAUCUCUGGCUUCAAGCAUUGAAGGAUGUGUCAGUGGAUUUUGUGAAAUAAGCCAAGAAUUAAUUGCCUUUCACUGUGGCUGAAGGAAACAAGUGCUUGUUCCUUGGUGCCAAAAAGAAGAACCAGCAUUCAGACAAAGAACUUUUCUCAGCAAGGUGAUCUUACUUUCUGCAGAAAGGGUGCUUCUUGGAAGUCUGCUUGUCAUGGGAGCACACUGAACAAAUACAAGCAGGAGUUAUUAUCCCUGACACAUUGGAUCCUUACUGCUGUGUCCUAUCCCCAUUGGCUGGAGCUGGACUGCCUGCCCAAUCUAGACUGAUCCGAACUGGCUAAAAACUUAAAAGUUUCCUAAAUAGGUAAACGUGCAGUAAUGAACAAAGAAAGUAAAGGGAUUGUUUAUGGGAAAGUAGGAGAAUAAUAACAUUUCCAAAUAAGGAAGAGGUGUAGGCUGUAAGCUGGGAAAUGCUUGGGCAUGUUAGAACAUGUCUGAGCAGGCUAUAGGCCAGAACAAAUAACAUGGUUAAAAUACAAGGACAUAAAAUGCACUUAUUCCCUUACCAUAUUUAAUGGCUACAUAGGGCUUAACAAAGAGUUAUUAGCAAAAAGCAAGGAAUGUUGAAGGAAGCUAGUUUUUAAAAGAAACUAUUAUUUCUGACACUUAUUAUUUAUUCUUUAACAAAAAGAGAAACCUUGCAGAUAAACUUUACUUUUCACAAAUAGAAACAAUGUCCUACUUUUCAUUUCUGUUAAGAACUCUACUCAGCUUUUCAAAUAAAUUUCUGUUUAUGUAAUUUAAUUCUUUUGACAAUAAAAC
rnacentral:lncRNA from 1 species